CCCUAUAAAAAAAAGUCCCGUGUUAGGCGACUGUCCACUCUCCACUCUCCCGCUGGCUACUGCUCAUCAGGAGCAAGAUGGGGGUGGGGACUGUCCAAUGAUUCCUCUGUGUGAUAGAUGACCAAGUGGCUGCAGUCGUGGGGGUCUACACAGCAGUGCAAGAUUGUUUGUAGCUGAUUUGAUCAAACUCUGGCUUCCUGAACUGGAAUGAAAUGCAGAUAACUCGUUAGCAAACUUUUGUGGGAAAAAAGUGCCUUGUGCGAUCAGAACAAAGCCGUUUUAUAAUCAGAUUUACCAAGCUGAGAAGAGGGAGUUUCAGCAAAUGGAAGCUUCAGCUUUCUGUCACCAGGAAACACUGCGUUAUCCAGAAUCGGAAUUGUUAAAGCAUACUGACUACAACUGGAGACAAAAAUGGAACCUAAGAAAAUAAAAUCACUUGGGAAGGAUGUGAAUUCAUAUAUCUUUUCUCUUAAAGUUGUUUUGAAAAGAGCCUGGUCUGUUUCUGUCCCUCCUCUGUCAUUGUCCCAAAACUUAUAUGAAGAACUUUCCAGUCUGCAUAGUCUCUGAACAUUUUAUUAUGUUGCAACAUCUCACUACACCAUUUGUUCGCUGAAAGCAUACCCUAGAAUUUGACUGUCCACUACUGAUGACCAUCACUUAGGAAAACAGAGCAGCAGCUGUGUGAUGGAAUGACAAGCUUAUAAAGAACUCAAGAAUGGUUUUCCAUGAUGAGAAGAAGGGAAUGGAAAUUGCUUCUAAGAAACACAAGUUUUACAAUGUGGGUUUUCUAUUCUUUUGGUAAAUAAAUGGAAACUUAGAAAUAAUUUUAGACAGUAGCAAUUCAGGAUAAAAUUUUCAGUGGAUGAGUGGAGGUUUCAAGGGGGAAUUUAUUGUUAUGUUAUAUAUACUAGAGACUUUCAUUAAGAAAUUAAGUAGUUUACAUUAAUAGAAAAGGAAUACAAGUGAAGCAAAAAUCAAUGCCUGUGUAUAAUUAAUUGUUUAAUAGUCAAUUGUCAUAAUGUAAUGAGUUUUUGUCACCUAGUGCUGAAUCUAAUGAAAAUAAAGCAGAUUGUACUGUC
rnacentral:lncRNA from 1 species